rnacentral:rRNA from 1 species
ACAUGGGCGGCGACCGGCAAACGUUUGCGGAACACGUACACAACUUUCCUUUAAGUGGGGGAUAGCCCAGAGAAAUUUGGAUUAAUACCCCGUAAAAUUAUGAAGUGGCAUCACUUUAUAAUUAAAGCUCCGGCGCUUAAAGAUGGGUGUGCGGCUGAUUAGGUAGUUGGCGGGGUAACGGCCCACCAAGCCUUCGAUCAGUAACUGGUGUGAGAGCACGACCAGUCACACGGGCACUGAGACACGGGCCCGACUCCUACGGGAGGCAGCAGCAAGGAAUAUUGGUCAAUGGACGCAAGUCUGAACCAGCCAUGCCGCGUGAAGGAUGAAGGUCCUCUGGAUUGUAAACUUCUUUUAUUUGGGAAGAAACCCAUUUUUUCUAGAGUGGUUGACGGUACCAGAUGAAUAAGCACCGGCUAACUCCGUGCCAGCAGCCGCGGUAAUACGGAGGGUGCAAGCGUUAUCCGGAUUCACUGGGUUUAAAGGGUGCGUAGGUGGGCAGGUAAGUCAGUGGUGAAAUCUCCGGGCUUAACCCGGAAACUGCCAUUGAUACUAUCUGUCUUGAAUACCGAGAAGGUGAGCGGAAU